CAAAGGCUCCACCAUAUCAUUCCACCUCUAGCAUCUCAUUCCGCUUCCUCCACUAUAGCAUUCUGUCGCGUUGAUGCUGCGCAGCGUUGUUCUGAAUCAAUGGCUGCCAAAUGCUCCAGAUGAGAAUGCACAACCUCCUGGUGCCAGUCGCAAGGAGCAAAGUGAUGGAGGGGAAACACAGGGAAGCAUUGCCUCCUCUGGUUGCUUGCUUGCAGAGGGAGCCAUUAAAAUGAUGUUUCAGCUUGUCAGCCCUCAUCCAGUCCAUUGCAGCUACAAGACACCUUUGUACCUUUGUCCUUAGCUGUGAGAAUGCAGCACGAUAUACUAGCCCCAAACAUUGCUAAGGAUGGUGGAGAAAGCCAAGACCAGCCUACCAAGCAAGGAUAAUUCAUACAACUGAGACUCAGCCUUAUCAUCCCUUCAGCUAAUCUGAUGUAUGAAAGCUAAUCACCCAAUAAAAUUGGUCUGUUACAUCUCAUAAUCAGUUUCCAGGGCAUGGUAAGGUAAAUAGAAAAGAUUGCAUAAUUAAUCUUGAGUUUGAAAUAUUCCGGUCACAAGAUGGCACUAUCAGAUAGUCACUUCUGAAUUGCUCAGAACUAAUAACACAGUUUGAAUGCUUUACACCAGUGGUUCCCAACGUUGUUGUUUUUUGACCAGGGAUCACCAGCAAAUUAGUACUAAAAGGGUUACGAAUCAGUUUUUGGUCAAAUUUAGAUUUGAUUUGGUUAUUUGGGGUGCUGAUUCAGAAAACUGCAUGGAUAGACCACAUCAGCUCUAGUUUUUGAUACAGAACAUAUGCCAUCCAGUAGUUGCCAUUUGCUUGCCCACAGAAAACCGUAUUUAAUAAUCUAGACCUGAUGUGGUCUAUCCAAUGCAAUUUUCUGAAUCAGCACCAUCUGAGUAGUUUAUUAUGAAUUAUUAUUAUUUUUUCUCAGAUUGUAUCAAUUUGUCUCGGAAAUCUUCUUCAGAAAAGCCUAAUUUCUUAUCAAAGUUGAAGUAUUCUUUAAUCUGUAGGUAGUGAAGCCAUGAGACAUCCUUAUAUCUUUCCUGAAUUUCUUCUUGUGGUCUUAAAUUAGGUGUGUCCAUUUUCCACGUAAGCAGUUUUUUAUAAGAUGGCCAUUUCACCCAAACGAGCAAUCUUCUCUGGCUGGCUUCUAAUGGAGAAACCCACUUUUGUAUAGAAAUUCCUUUUGUAUCUUUCCCAGAUCUUAUAAUUGAUCACCUUGAUUAGCAUUGUAUAGUCUUGCAGCUUCAAAGCCUGAUUGCUUCCUGCUUGAGGGAAUCCUUUGUUGGGAGGUGAUUAGCUGGCCCUGAUUGUUUCUUGUCUGGGAUUCCCCUGUUUUUGAGUGUUGUUUUUUUAAUUUACUGUCCUGAUUUUAUAGGAUUUUUUAAAAUACUGGUACCCUGAAUUUGUUUCAAACUGUAUAGAUCAGUGGUUUUCAACCUGUGGGUCCCCAGGUGUUUUUGCCUACUACUCCCAGAAAUUCCAGCCAGUUUACCACCUGUUAGGAUUUUGGGAGUUGAAGGCCAAAACAUCUGGGAACCCACAGAUUGAGAACCAUUGCUAUAGAAUGUAAGAAUAUUUUUGGUGAAUUACUUGCUAUGAUCAAGUUGGUCAGCAGGUGGCGCAAUGUCCCUUGUCUACAGAGAUUAUAUCCCAUUGAUUAUAGCAUUCCCAUCCAGAUAACAAUAAUAUAAAAGCAAAUUGAUAAAAUAAUAACAAGUGACAAACUAAGGAAACCCCUCUCAUAGUAGAAUGAAUAGUAGAAGUUGUCCUUAGGAGAAUGACCUGUAAGUAAAAUUCGGAUAGAUCUCAAAUCCAAACAAACUUCACUCAUAAGAGAAGAGAGUCAAUGGCUGCUUACAGUAGAAAAAGCAGAAAUAUCUAUUUAUAAUUCUGCUUUUAAAGUGCACACACCCAAAGCAAGUCUAAUCCCCUACUCCAAUUAAUCAGAGAUAGUCCGUUUUAAAAAUUUUGGUGAUAAGGUUAAAAGGAACAUAAUCCUGGCAGACAUGUGCUUCUUUCUAUAUCAUCACCUGCCUCUCCUUAAGAAGAAAUCUUAUUUUAAUAUAGAAAAAGCAACAUGUGGAAAUCGGGGGUGCAUCUACACCAGGCAUGGGCAAACUUGGGCCCUCCAAGUGUUUUGGACUUCAACUCCCACAAUUCCUAACAGCCUACCGGCUGUUAGGAAUUGUGGGAGUUGAAGUCCAAAACACCUGGAGGGCCCAAGUU